rnacentral:lncRNA from 1 species
GUGGCCUAGUGGGCAAAGAACCAACCUCUCGAGUAUGAGGGCGCGGGUUCGAUUCCAGGUCAGGCAAGUACCAAUGCAACUUUUCUAAGUUUGUAUGUACUUUCUAAGUAUAUCUUAGACACCAAAUGACUGUGUUUCGGAUGGCACGUUAAACUGUAGGUCCCGGCUGUCAUUGAACAUCCUUGGCAGUCGUUACGGGUAGUCAGAAGCCAGGAAGUCUGACACCAGUCUAAUCAAGGGGUAUCGGGUUGCCCGGGUAACUGGGUUGAGGAGGUCAGAUAGGCAGUCGCUUCUUGUAAAGCACUGGUACUCAGCUGAAUCCGGUUAGACUGGAAGCCGACCCCAACAUAGUUUGGGAAAAAGGCUCGGAGGAUGA